rnacentral:rRNA from 1 species
UACGUAGGGUGCAAGUGUUAAUCGGAAUUACUGGGCGUAAAGCGUACGCAGGCGGCUAUGUAAGACAGGUGUGAAAUCCCCGGGCCUAACCUGGGAACUGCAUUUGUGACUGCAUAGCUAGAGUCCGUCAGAGGGGGGUGGAAUUCCACGUGUAGCAGUGAAAUGCGUAGAGAUGUGGAGGAACACCGAUGGCGAAGGCAGCCCCCUGGGAUGAGACUGACGCUCAUGUACGAAAGCGUGGGGAGCAAACAGG